rnacentral:misc_RNA from 1 species
GAUGAAGAACGCAGCGAAAUGCGAUACGUAGUGUGAAUUGCAGAAUUCAGUGAAUCAUCGAAUCUUUGAACGCACAUUGCGCCCCUUGGUAUUCCAUGGGGCAUGCCUGUUCGAGCGUCAUUUGUACCUUCAAGCUUUGCUUGGUGUUGGGUGUUUGUCUCGCCUCCGCGUGUAGACUCGCCUCAAAACAAUUGGCAGCCGGCGUAUUGAUUUCGGAGCGCAGUACAUCUCGCGCUUUGCACUCACAACGACGACGUCCAAAAGUACAUUUUUACACUCUUGACCUCGGAUCAGGUAGGGAUACCCGCUGAACUUAAGCAUAUCAAUAAGCGGAGGA